UCUAUCUAGGAAGAUCUAUUGCACUCAUUAUGAUGCCUGCUGUCAUUACCAAUGCGUAAAUAGCCUGGACUCAUCUGGUUCUCCAAUACUCUUGACCCCAAGCAUACUUAUGAAAUGUGGAAUGGGAUAUAGCUUGGGAGUUUCUAGUUCUGGCACAGCAGUUUCUGGGAGUUUGGGACAAGAUCAGAGAGCUCACUGAAAGCGAAGCAGAGGAAUAAGAAAGAUGGAAGGCUGCGGUAACGUGUUACAUGGUUAUUGAUUGGGAGUCUCUAUGAGUUUUAUUUUCACCAGUCUGGAGUCAUCCAAUGAGAGGAAAAAUCUACAGUGCAUCACGCACGGAUAUGAGCUCAGGAGCUGCAGUUUCUUUUGAGGUUCUAAUUUGCUACAUAAUGUGGAUUGAGGUUUUCUUUCUUCUUUUUUUGUCUUUUAGUUCCUUUUAUCUGCAUUGUACAUUAACAUUUUCUUAAAGUUGUCGGUAGAUCAGCAGCUAUCUUGGAUUCAGUGCACCAAAAUAUUUUUGCAAUCAUGUUUUAGUU
rnacentral:lncRNA from 1 species